AGGGAAUCUUCCGCAAUGGACGAAAGUCUGACGGAGCAACGCCGCGUGAGUGAUGAAGGUUUUCGGAUCGUAAAACUCUGUUGUUAGGGAAGAACAAGUACCGUUCGAAUAGGGCGGCACCUUGACGGUACCUAACCAGAAAGCCACGGCUAACUACGUGCCAGCAGCCGCGGUAAUACGUAGGUGGCAAGCGUUGUCCGGAAUUAUUGGGCGUAAAGCGCGCGCAGGCGGUCUUUUAAGUCUGAUGUGAAAGCCCACGGCUCAACCGUGGAAGGUCAUUGGAAACUGGAAGACUUGAGUGCAGAAGAGGAGAGUGGAAAUCCACGUGUAGCGGUGAAAUGCGUAGAGAUGUGGAGGAACACCAGUGGCGAAGGCGACUCUCUGGUCUGUAACUGACGCUGAGGCGCGAAAGCGUGGGGAGCAAAC
rnacentral:rRNA from 1 species